UUUGGCCCUUUAUUUUUUAACUUUUUUUGAUUCGAGCGUCAUUGAUGAGUCGUUUGUAGACGAAACACGCGUCGGCAUAUGUAUAAAAUUUAGUCCUGGUAUCUGUGAUGAGUUUUUUUUCAUAAUGUGUUCUAUAAUCAUGAUAAUUAAUAGCAUGAAAAAGUAUUUGCAGCAUCUAAACAUGAUGACCAAAUCUUUCAACCAAAUAUGAAAAGUACCAGUCAGAGCAUCUUGAAGGAAUGUGUUCACAUAAAAUUAAGUUCAGAAUUCUUUAAAAAAAAAUGUGCCCUUACUAAUUGAUCAUCUGACAAUUAUAUUGUAUCACCAUAUAUAAUCAGGGUUUUCCCUAAGUCAAUUAUUUUUUUUGCCACCUCUUUCGCCAAAACAAUAUAUUUUUCGCCACUUUAUUAUUUUUUUCGACAAGUAACAUAAAUAUAUUUUUCCUUUAAAUUUUACCUUUUUUCUACCCACCCCUCCCCCCUUUAAUGAGAUGAUUUUGCCCCAUUGUGUCUGAUUAUUCUCUCAAACUUAUUUUAGAGUCUACAUUUUAAUGAAUAAACACUAAUCAUUUAC
rnacentral:lncRNA from 1 species